CGUAUAAUAAUCAAAACCGCAUGGUUUUGAUUUGAAAGGCGCUUAUGGUGCCACUGAUGGAUGGACCCGCGGUGCAUUAGCUAGUUGGUGAGGUAACGGCUCACCAAGGCGACGAUGCAUAGCCGACCUGAGAGGUUGAUCGGCCACAUUGGGACUGAGACACGGCCCAAACUCCUACGGGAGGCAGCAGUAGGGAAUCUUCGGCAAUGGACGAAAGUCUGACCGAGCAACGCCGCGUGAGUGAAGAAGGUUUUCGGAUCGUAAAACUCU
rnacentral:rRNA from 1 species